rnacentral:rRNA from 1 species
UACGUAGGGUGCGAGCGUUGCCCGGAUUUAUUGGGCGUAAAGGGCGCGUAGGCGGCUCUGCACGUCCGUUGUGAAAUCGCCCGGCUCAACUGGGCGGGGUCAGCGGAUACGGCGGAGCUUGAGCAAGCUAGGGGGCAAUGGAAUUCCGGGUGUAGCGGUGGAAUGCGUAGAGAUCCGGAAGAACACCGGUGGCGAAGGCGGUCUGCUGGGCAGUUGCUGACACUGAGGCGCGACAGCGUGGGGAGCAAACAGG